rnacentral:lncRNA from 1 species
GGCUGACACAUUUCUCUAGGAUAUAUUUUGUACUUGAUGGGCAGUCUUUAAAACUAAUCAAGUCUUAUGUGUCCAUGAUUUAUCUUAGAAAUUAAUAAAGAUAAUUUUGUAUAUUCUCAAGGUAUUAAGAAUUUGAGAUAUACAUUAUUAGUGGUUAAUUUCUAAAUACUCUCGAUCAAAAGAUCGUCAUGGAGGACAGUGAUCAAUCCAUUCGAGAUC